CGAGGCUCCACGAACAAGUAUGACGUCACUAGCUAUUCCCAGGCUACCAAUAGCGACGUUCGCCGCGCCACGUUCGCGAUGCUCGUGCCAGGGCCGACGCUACUCGUGCUAUCAAUGGGAUCUGUUUGCCAGGGUACUGUUUCCAAAGUAUGCAGUAGCGUCACUUGGCGACGAAAAUUUCAAACGAGCGGCACGCUUCGUUUCCAAGAAUCGUCGAUGACUCAUAUGGCGAGUCGUGUAGGCGGUGAACGGGGUAGCCGGAACAUAUCGAACAAGACGCAUGACUCACCAAACUGAUAUGUCGGAUAUUCGCGCCUUAACCUGCUCCCUCUGGAUGGCUAGACGUUCCACGACCUGCGGUUUCCUCCGCUUUGAAGCAUGCAGGUGCCACCUGUAUAACUUAGUGCCCAAGAUAAACGAGGAAGCUGGUUCACUUACUAGUCUCUCAUUCUCUACCUUGUUAUUAGCCGUAUGCAUAAUCAACCGUGAACUGCGACACACGGUGUCAGCCAGAUCAAAAUGAUAGAUAAAUGAUUUCUUCCUUCGCAUCUAAACAUCUAGUGCGUAUGAUACUAAGGAAGGGAUUAUCGUAAUUCGACAUGCGAUAGUUUUGCAUUUGUGCAUGAUACACGUAAAUGAGAUGGCGUGAGAGAUUUGGGAAAAAUUAAAUUAAAAUAAAGAUGUCUUCUUCAAAUGAAUUUACUACUAUUACUUAAUAAUAAUGGAUUAAUAAUAAAAUAAAGGGAUUUCAAUGGA